rnacentral:lncRNA from 1 species
ACUCUGUGUUAGCCAAAUGCCAGCUUGCCCACCCAAAUGCUGGACUGAAGUCUAACACGUUCCAACAGCAAAUCUGCAGACACUCCACCCACCAGGACAGCUGCUCACGCGUGCAACCCUGUGGGUCCAGAAGAUUUCGAGUGCAGACACGUGGGAUUCAGGAGACUGGUUCCCAGGCUCUCUGCAUCCAUAGGAGCCUGCUGGCAAAUGUGCUGAGAAUGGACAUGCCUGAUUCGCUCCAAGGAACUGCUCCUUUCCUGUGCCUCUUUCAUCAUGGCCUGACACAGGCGUCACGAGGGCAAGGAAGGCCUUGGAGCCCCCUCAUCUGUCCCUGGGGCAUCUUGUACACAGGUGGGCUCCACAUGAAGGAUGAGGGACCACCAAGGCUGAGUUCAGUAAGAGAACUCCCCCAGUAAUGGGUAAGAGCCCCCAGUAACAUGGUCGGCUUGUCAUCCUUUGAUUUUAACAAAAUGGAAGGGGAAUCUCACUGAGCUAAAAAUCAAUAGAUCAUUGAAAAUAAUCCUUAAUGACAGAGAAUGGAUGGGCCACAAUGUUUUGGCAUAUAGCUCAGGCGUUCAGUGAAAAUGGCACUGCUAUAACAAGACUCCUCUCUCUCCAUUUAUUUACAUGAACACAUUUUCAGACAUUCUACAGAAACAAAAAGAAGCGACCACCAAAAGGAGGGAAAAACCAGGAGCGCACACGUUUCUGACAAGGUCUUCUCUGGAAAUGAGUCAGGUGUGCUCAUGAACUGAGUGAAAAACCACCACACCCAGCUCGCUAAGAGAUGCAUCUCAGAGCAAUCAUAACUUUUUAUGUCCAACAAUUAUCAAAGUAUGUAAUGUAUCCUAAUUGCUUGAUGUGAACAAGUGAUAAUUAUGAUAAUAAUUCCAU